UACGGAGGGUGCAAGCGUUAUCCGGAUUUACUGGGCUUAAAGGGUGCGUAGGCGGAUAGAUAAGUCAGCGGUGAAAUCUCCGGGCUUAACUCGGAAACUGCCAUUGAUACUAUCUGUCUUGAAUAUCCUGGAGGUGAGCGGAAUAUGUCAUGUAGCGGUGAAAUGCUUAGAUAUGACAUAGAACACCUAUUGCGAAGGCAGCUCACUACGGGAUUAUUGACACUGAGGCACGAAAGCGUGGGGAUCAAACAGG
rnacentral:rRNA from 1 species